rnacentral:lncRNA from 1 species
AAUUACGGAGAUGAGAGAUUAUGCGGGAAUAAAAAUAAGUUCCUUCAUUUUCUGGUGCAUUCCUUCAGAUAUAAACAAACAACCGGGGCGGAAGGAAAAGCAUUUGUUUAUGAAAGCCUGCUGCUUGAGCUGAGUUCUGGGCAGGAAGGCCACCCAUGUAAGCUCAGGACCCGGAGUCCACCCUGCGCCCCCUCGUGGGCGGCCCAGAGAAACAAAAGUCAGGUCCACCCAAAUGUACUAAGAGCAAUGACAGUCUCUAGGUCUCUGCACCUUGAAGGCCUUGCUCUUCGGAAGUCGGUGGGUGCGUGGUCAGUGGGUUCUGCUCAGGGUCGCUGGAUACCACUCCCUGCAGCCAGCCUUUCUGCAUGUUUUUGAGAGAGGAUUUUCAGAGAGGAAUGUAAUCUUCAUUCUGUGGGGAGAGAUUCAGCUUCAUGUCAAGGGUUUGAAAAAACAAAACAAAACCUCUGCUGUGUUAAACAGGGCAAGCCAGAUACUUUAUGGUGAGUGAUCAAAAUAGAGUAUCACAGAAUCAAGGGAGUCAGGAGCUUGUAGGUAAAUAGAGAAAAUGGGAGCAGAGGCAUAUAAGAAGGUAGGUCAGUGUAAGUAGAGGUGAGACUGUCUGAGGGCAGUGGGGUAUGAGGGAGAUUAUGUUCAAAUCCCAGUGUAUACUUUCAUGCAAAUCACCUUAUGUAACACUGUAAAAUUCUUUUUUUUUAAUUCAACGAGGUUGUCAGUAAAGAAUACAUAGAGCAGAGCUGGGAGAGAAAGAAAACUACAAGAGAUGAAAACACAUGAGCAUGAUCAUCCUUGGAACAAAGUCAAUCAGAUGCAUAACUGGGGUCAAGAAGUGAAAGACAGGGCUGGAGAGGUGGCUCAGAGUUUAAGAGCACUGACUGCUCUUUCAGAGGCUGUGAGUUCAAUUCCCAGCAACCACAUGGUGGCUCACAACCAUCUUGAAUGAGAUCUGGUGCCCUCUUCUGGUGUGAAGAUAUACAUGGAAGCAGAAUGUUGUAUACAUAAUAAAUAAAUAAAAUCUUUUUUUAAAAAAAAAAAG